CCUACGGGAGGCAGCAGUGGGGAAUAUUGCACAAUGGGGGAGACCCUGAUGCAGCAACGCCGCGUGAAGGAAGACGGUUUUCGGAUUUGUAACUUCCUUUCUUAGUGGAGAAUAAUGACGGUAGCUAACCAGCAAGCCACGACUAACUACGUGCCAGCAGCCGCGGUAAUACGGAGGAGGCGAGCGUUGUCCGGAGUUACUGGGUGUAAAGGGAGCGCAGGGGGGUAGGGAAGUCAGGUGUGAAAGCUACGGGCUUAACUUGUAGACUGCAGUUGAAACUGGUUUUCUUGAGUGAAGUAGAGGUUGGCGGAAUUCGGGGUGUAGCGGUGAAAUGCGUAGAUAUUAGGAGGAACACCGGUGGCGAAGGCGGCUUACUGGGCUGUAACUGACGCUGAGGCUCGAAAGUGUGGGGAGCAAACAGGAUGAGAUACCCCGGUAGUC
rnacentral:rRNA from 1 species